rnacentral:rRNA from 1 species
GAUCUUGGUGGUAGUAGCAAUUAUUCAAAUGAGAACUUUGAAGGCCGAAGUGGAGAAGGUUUCCAUGAGAACAGCAAUUGGUCAUGGGUGACUCGGUCCUAAGAUAUUGGUAAACGACCUUGCAAAUGGGCUUCGGCCCGCGAUCGAAGAAGGGAAAAUGAGGUUAAUAUUCCUCAAGCUGGAUAUGGAUGUCACGGUAACGUUUGUGAGCUCGGUGACACCGGCGCGUGCCUCUGGA